GACGAACGCUGGCGGCGUGCUUAACACAUGCGAGUCGAACGGAAAGGCCCUGCUUUUGUGGGGUGCUCGAGUGGCGAACGGGUGAGUAACACGUGAGUAACCUGCCCUUGACUUUGGGAUAACUUCAGGAAACUGGGGCUAAUACCGGAUAGGAGCUCCUGCUGCAUGGUGGGGGUUGGAAAGUUUCGACGGUUGGGGAUGGACUCGCGGCUUAUCAGCUUGUUGGUGGGGUAGUGGCUUACCAAGGCUUUGACGGGUAGCCGGCCUGAGAGGGUGACCGGCCACAUUGGGACUGAGAUACGGCCCAGACUCCUACGGGAGGCAGCAGUGGGGAAUAUUGCACAAUGGGCGGAAGCCUGAUGCAGCAACGCCGCGUGCGGGAUGACGGCCUUCGGGUUGUAAACCGCUUUCGCCUGUGACGAAGCGUGAGUGACGGUAAUGGGUAAAGAAGCACCGGCUAACUACGUG
rnacentral:rRNA from 1 species